CAGUGCCGGACACAUGCAUGUCGAACGCCCCGCAAGGGGAGUAACAGACGGGUGAGUAACACGUGGGAACGUACCCUUUGGUUCGGAACAACCCUGGGAAACUAGGGCUAAUACCGGAUACGCGCGAGAGCGGAAAGGUUUACCGCCGAAGGAUCGGCCCGCGUCUGAUUAGCUAGUUGGUGAGGUAACGGCUCACCAAGGCGACGAUCAGUAGCUGGUCUGAGAGGAUGAUCAGCCACAUUGGGACUGAGACACGGCCCAAACUCCUACGGGAGGCAGCAGUGGGGAAUAUUGGACAAUGGGCGCAAGCCUGAUCCAGCCAUGCCGCGUGAGUGAUGACGGCCCUAGGGUUGUAAAGCUCUUUUACCUGGGAAGAUAAUGACGGUACCAGGAGAAUAAGCCCCGGCUAACUUCGUGCCAGCAGCCGCGGUAAU
rnacentral:rRNA from 1 species